AUUCAGCUUACACGGGCAGUGACGGCGGUUGUGGAAGGACGCCCCCCUUACAUCUUUAUUCUUCCCUUUUCAGACUUGGUCGGUGAAUGAAGAUGCAGUGCCGGUCCUGUAACGACUCCCUUCCUGCAGAUGGACAAGCGCUCCGAAUGAAAGUAAGAAGGCGGAACGGAAUGGCAGCUGGCCGGUGCGAAGACUGGGAACUCAUGAGGGAGAAAAGAAAUCGAAGAGACAGAAGGAAACGUGAGCUUUUAAACGAGGAAGCAGUUACACGGACGCAAUGUGAUGUGCGACAAUUGUCUGCAAGUCUGUUUGCCUUACAUCAAAAAAGCUCAAAACAUCGCGUUCAACAGCUUCUAUAGUGACCGGCUCUUCUUUACGAUGAAAACCAGGAGGACACAGUAAUAAAACACGCUGUAGUGGGGAACUCCACAUUUAUAUCGGCCA